UACGUAGGUGGCAAGCGUUGUCCGGAAUUAUUGGGCGUAAAGCGCGCGCAGGCGGCCUUUUAAGUCUGAUGUGAAAGCCCACGGCUCAACCGUGGAAGGCCAUUGGAAACUGAAAGGCUUGAGUACAGAAGAGGAAAGCGGAAUUCCACGUGUAGCGGUGAAAUGCGUAGAUAUCUGGAGGAACACCGGUGGCGAAGGCGGCAUCCUGGACCGGUAUUGACGCUGAGGCGCGAAAGCUAGGGGAGCAAACGGG
rnacentral:rRNA from 1 species